CUUUCAAACUGAAAGAAUUUAUAAUCUAAUUUAUUAAUAUUCUCUGGAAAAGACAAAGAUACAACAGUAUGCCUGUUUAGAAAGUAUUUCAUAACUCACUCAGGGGAAAAACCUUACCUCAUUUCGGGAAAAAAUUGGGAUUUUGCCCUGUCGUUAUGUGCUAUUUUCCGUAGUAUUUUUCCAGUAGUACUUCUCCAAAUCAAGCUAGGGACAGUUCAGCUUCAAGUUUUAUUGACAUUUUUUGUGGGCAUGAAAUGCUUUUUUUAAUACCUUACUUUAACUCAUUUUGUGUAUUUCUAUGGGAUUCCUAUUUCUUUUCUGAAGAAAGGAGAAAAAGUCAUUAACUUAGAGAAGUUCAGACUUUUCAGAAGGUCAUGAAUCUGACAAGCCAGAAGCAAUGGAUCCUUCUCCAUCUGCCUUUUAUUUCCAGCACAUUUAUACAACCUUCAAGUCUUUGUUUUUCAAAUCUCAGGGAGAGCUACCCAUCCUGGAGUCAAUUGAUGGUUAUCAGGAAGGUGUUUUCAGCUAUUUUCAAAAUACCUUGCAUCUAUGGAACGUGUGUGUAUUUUUGGGUAAUGGCUACUGGACAUCUCCUUGCUUCCUGGUUAUGCCAGGAGUGCCUUUUUCCCUUCAGUACGAUUCCUUCAAACAUUUUGGUAAGAAUUCUUCAUGGGUUGGUGUGCCCCAUAUCACGACAUAUGGUAUGCCCCAUAUCACGUGUACCCCAUAUCAUGACACAUUAGGGUGCAUGGAUUGUCUGUUUUUUGGGGGUGCUAAGAAGGAUCGGUGCAUUUGGGUGGUGAUGAUCUGAUUCUUCUUGGUCCUUCUCAUCUAACAAUUUUAUAUACUGAUGAUUGAAUCAAUUAUUUCAUCUGGGAUUAUAAAAUGUGAUUUUUAAGAAUACUAUACUUUCUAUAUUACAAUCCCAUAAUUUCAUCCACUUUAUUCUGUAAAGAAGAACUUUCUCUCAUCAAGAGGAAUAAUUUCUUUUAAGAGGAAUGAUUUUGAAUUCCUGAAAUAUAGUUAAUAGAGUGAAGGAAAAAUAGGCACUUCAUUUUAUCAUUUUAAUUGACUUUUUUGAAGUAAAGAUUUUUAAAAUGGUAUAUAUUAACUAUGUUUCGUUUUUUUCCACUUUUAAAAAUUAUUUUUUACUUAUGUAAAAUAUAUGUGCAAUAUGUUUCAGACAAUUAUGUUCAUUAUUAUAUCUGAUGAUGAAAUCAUUUUGAAUUUGGCCAAUAGCCACGCUUUCAUGCUGGCUCCUUGACUUUUGGAAAUGACCCUUUGACUUAUAUUUUCCUUGCUUCUUGACACAGCAAAAUAAUUCAGCUUGUAUAUUUCCAGAUUCACAUUUAGAAUCAGCUAUUGUUCUGAAGCCUCUGAAUCACUUGAACAGGAAAUGGCAUUUAGAAACCAGAGUCUAGGUGCUAGUUGUGCUCGGUACUAUUUUGUGCCAUUGCUUCUAGGCCUCUUCAGUGAACAGAGCUAGAGCUAGGAAAUUUGUAUUUUCUAAAGAGAAAAUAAAAAUCAGGAUUUAUAAAAAUUUUUCA
ensembl:lncRNA